rnacentral:rRNA from 1 species
UGGGGAAUAUUGCACAAUGGGGGGAACCCUGAUGCAGCCAUGCCGCGUGAAUGAAGAAGGCCUUCGGGUUGUAAAGUUCUUUCGGUGACGAGGAAGGUUGGUAGGUUAAUAGCCUAUCAAAUUGACGUUAAUCACAGAAGAAGCACCGGCUAACUCCGUGCCAGCAGCCGCGGUAAUAUGGGGGGUGCGAGCGUUAAUCGGAAUAACUGGGCGUAAAGGGCACGCAGGCGGUGACUUAAGUGAGAUGUGAAAGCCCCGAGCUUAACUUGGGAAUUGCAUUUCAUACUGGGUCGCUAGAGUACUUUAGGGAGGGGUAGAAUUCCACGUGUAGCGGUGAAAUGCGUAGAGAUGUGGAGGAAUACCGAAGGCGAAGGCAGCCCCUUGGGAAUGUACUGACGCUCAUGUGCGAAAGCGUGGGGAGCAAACAGGAUUAGAUACCCUGGUAGUCCACGCUGUAAACGAUGUCGAUUUGGGGAUUGGGCUUUGAGCUUGGUGCCCGUAGCUAACGUGAUAAAUCGACCGCCUGGGGAGUACGGCCGCAAGGUUA